UACGUAGGUGACCAGCGUUGUCCGGAUUUACUGGGCGUAAAGAGCGCGCAGGCGGUCGUUCAAGUCGAGUGUGAAAGCCCCCGGCUCAACUGGGGAGGGUCAUUCGAUACUGAUCGACUUGAAGGCAGGAGAGGGAAGCGGAAUUCCCGGUGUAGUGGUGAAAUGCGUAGAUAUCUGGAGGAACAUCAGUGGCGAAGGCGACACCCUGGACUCAUACUGACACUGAGGUGCGAAAGCGUGGGGAGCAAACAGG
rnacentral:rRNA from 1 species